CCCCUAGAUGUUCUGGGCCGCACGCGCGCUACACUGAACAGUUCAACAAGUCUUAACCUUGACCGAUAGGUCUGGGUAAUCUUUGAACGCUGUUCGUGAUUGGGAUAGACCUUUGCAAUUAUGGGUCUUCAACGAGGAAUUCCUAGUAAACGCAAGUCAUCAGCUUGCAUUGAUUACGUCCCUGCCCUUUGUACACACCGCCCGUCGCACCUACCGAUUGAAUGGUCCGGUGAAAUCUCGGGACGGCGGCUUGGUCGCUUGCGUCCGACUGCUGAAACUUGAUUAAACCAUAUCAUUUAGAGGAAGGUGAANUCGUANCA
rnacentral:rRNA from 1 species